AACAGGUGGAGCCUGCGGUUAAUCGGACUCAACGCCGGGAAGCUCACCGGAUAAGACAGCGGAAUGAUAGCCGGGCUGAAGACUCUGCUUGACUAGCUGAGAGGAGGUGCAUGGCCGUCGUCAGUUCGUACUGUGAAGCAUCCUGUUAAGUCAGGCAACGAGCGAGACCCACGCCAACAGUUGCCAGCAUGUCCUCCGGGAUGAUGGGGACACUGUUGGGACCGCUCUGCUAAAGAGGAGGAAGGAAUGGGCAACGGUAGGUCAGCAUGCCCCGAAUUAUCCGGGCUACACGCGGGCUACAAUGGUCAGGACAAUGGGUAUCGACACCGAGAGGUGGAGGCAAUCUCCUAAACCUGUCCUUAGUUCGGAUUGUGGGCUGCAACUCGCCCACAUGAAGCUGGAAUCCGUAGUAAUCGCGUUUCAAAAUAGCGCGGUGAAUAUGUCCCUGCUCCUU
rnacentral:rRNA from 1 species